CGUCAAUGGGUGGUGGACAGCCGGCGAGACGUGGUAGCCGGCCAACAAAAUCAGCGUCGUCGCUCCCGCAAUCUGGCGCAACUCAAUAGGGGGCCGGACAAGUUCGGUUGUCAGCUGCGGCAGUGACCAUGGCAGCAGGUUGAGGUCGUCCGCCAACUCCCCCAUCUCCCAUGGUGUCUGAUCUGAAUGCAGGGCAUGGUCGUUUCCCAUCAGUGCAUCGAGUUUAUCGGAUGCCUUCAUCUCCCAUGAUGGUAGGUUAAGAAUGUCGUCGCCGGUGCCAGUACAUGCCACGCCAUCCCUAUCUCCAUCUCUGCAAGCUGGAUUUAGGCCCCCUGUCCAUCGAGUAGGGUUGGCUCCUCCCCGUCCUGGAGCUUCAACUUUGUGUGGAGAUGUUCAGGAGACAGAAUCAAGAGCCGACGAGGUGACGAACAUAGCUGAUGUCAUGAGCGAAACCGCAGCCACCGAUGAGUUGUAUCCAGGUUGGAAUGUUGGUGAGCAACCAUACAUGAGACAAGAAGAUAUGGCAGGCAUGGGGUAUUACAUGAAUUUGGUAAAUGAAGAUAUCCCCCAUUAUGAUUUGGGUGGCAUAGGAAGCUAGCCAAAAGAUGAACAGGCGCCGGCUGUUGAUUGUACAACAUCUGUUAAACCUAAGCAAAAGAGGUCGAAGAAUUUCAGCGAUGAGGAGAAUGAACUACUUGUGUCGGCAUGGUUGAACGUUUCAUUGGAUCCUGUCUCUGGAUCUGAUCAACCAAAAUCCACAUACUGGAAUAGAAUCUACGAUUAUUACCAUUCUAACAAGACUUUUAUUUCAGAACGCAAUGAAAAUUCACUAAUGCACCAUUGGUCUGCUAUUCAAGAAGCCGUGAACAAGUAUUGUGGAUAUCUUAGUAAGAUUCAAGAAAGAAAUAAAAGUGGUGUCAGACUUGACGAUCAGGAAAUGCAGGCCAGAAUAUGGUACAAUAAAGAUGAUGAACAUCAGAGGACAUUUAACUUCAUGAACUGUUACCAACUAUUGAAGAACCAACAAAAAUGGAUGGUUUGGAUGGCCAAACGCGCUCAGUUGGUGGAACAACAGAAGAAUCCGAACAAAAGGCAGAAGAGUACAACCAACGCAGCUCCUGUAAUGUCCACCGAUGUUCAUGCCACUGCUAUUGGGGAUGUAGCUGCAAAUGGAUAGGAAA